CGCUUAUGAGGAGGGAGGAGGAAAGAGUUGCUUUUUGAAGCUGCAGCUGAGCUCCUCAUAGCCUUUCAUCAAGCCACCAGGCCUGUGGUAGAACUUGCUGGGUCUGAAUGGGCCUGAAUCAGAAGAUGAGUCAGGGGCUGUUUGGGCAUCCCAGUCCUCUCACACCCCAGAAACUGCCAAUUAGCACAAAUCCCUGCUUCAUUCCACAUAAUCCCAGACAAUCAUAGUCUAAUUCUAGUUGACUCAUGGGCACUCCCAGAUAGGUGGAUCCCUUGUUUGGGCAGGAUCUGCUCCCUCUGUGACUCUAGCCUAUUGCAGAGAAGAAACCAUAAAGUGUUGAAUGAA